CGACUCUCCCAGCCCCAUAUCUCACGACUCUGCUUCUCUCCUUCCUCUAGGUCAUCAAAAUAAAAAGACAAAGAAUUGAUCUCACAGUUGCCCUCCCCGGCGACGACCACACUGGUGGAUAGUAGGAGGAGGAGAUAGAUGAAUAAUUCUCAAGAUAUUCGCCGCUGGUCUUCGUCAAUACCAACAAGACAUCAUGUGUGGAUAGUUGUCGCCCUGAUUGAUGCUCACUCUCAGUCUUGCCGGUCUCUCAGUGUGUCAAAUACCUGCAAGAAUUUAACACGCUGCUUCUCUUCGGCUAUGUUGUGGAUACACCAUCAGCCAUGUCGCCUCCAGCUGGUUUCUCCCAUGGAAAUCAAUCCAUGCGCCUCCCAAAUUGGAACAAGUGAGUUGUAGUUGAUCUGGUGUACUCACUGGAUUUAUGAUGUAGUUCAAGUUUGUCUACGAUCACUACCUUUUUUUAAUUUGUUCUUUUUUGGUUGUUUGUAAUUGAAUUGGUCGUAUCUUUUUCAUUCCGUCUACAGUCAGUUUUUUCCGUACCCUUUGAGAGUGCUCUCCAGGGAUUCGUUUCUAAAUCUUCUCUGGUAUGCUCUUUGGAAUUGGAUACGCCAUGUAGAUCAGAGGGAGCACAACUAGGGCUAAUCAGCUAUAUCUUUGUCAUUUUGUUCCCAAUCUGUUUUUAUCGUGCCCUUCGAGAGUGUUCUCCAGAGAUUUGAUUCCAAAACAUCCCGGGUGCGCUGGGUAUGUCAUGGAGUGAUGGAGAUCGUGUUGGAGGGAGCACAACUAAGGCUAACGCUGCUCAGGUGCCUCUGCGAGCCUCUAUCUGACAACGGCGAUGGCUAGCAGCCUACUCCACGUAAAGGCUAGCAGGUCAGCUGACAACUCCUCCAUAUGCCAUCAAUCUUUUGAAUCACUGAUUGUUUCGUAAUGGAUGUGUCCGCACAGCAGAACCAGAAGUAUCAAGGUACCUUCAGGGAGAUUGGUUAAUUAGCUAGGUACGUAUAAAGUUGUUAAUCUAAAUAGGACGCAACUACAAGACAACACCAAUAUGGUGAACCAUGGCAUGAGAUGCCUAACAUCUGCAUGUCGUGUGCAGGGUUUGAAUCACACAUAAAGACCACCAGCUGCAUGUUCGCACAUUAUCUUUGUGGUUUAAAUAACCAUGUUCGCUCUGGCAUCCCUAUACUCACGUACUUAUUAAAAGCUCCCUGGAUUUAGAAGCAUGUGUUUGCAUGUCUUUGUGAAGAGGAGAUAGGUAGAUCCAUGUUUUAUUCUUUUCAGUUCAUGAAGAUGAAGCAAUUAGAUCAUCACAAGAAUCUUUAAUCUAAUGAUUUUUGUCCAAUUCAGAAGAAGGUUAGCAUCAUCAAUAGUCGUCGACUCAUGCCCCAACUAGCACAAAACUAUGCCUACGUCCCUGAGAGAACUUGAGUUUUGACAUCGUCCAGUUGUGGACCGCAACCAUGUUCUGAACAUCUGAAUCCGCAAUCAUGUUCUGAACAUCUGACCAUAGAACGAUAGGAGCACCAUGUACCAGGACAAGGAGCAGGUUAUGGGUUCCCCGUCGAUUCCCCUACAGGAGCAUCUUUUGAGGAGGGCCACGCUAUUUACAGGAUAGUGAAUCUGGUAAGCAUCCAAUAGAUAAAAGAAAUCAUAAUUUUCUGUUGGCAAUUUCCAUGCAAGGUUCAAACAAAUUCCUGUUUGAGCGUGCAGUAGAGUAUGUGUGGCCCAAGAUUUGAUGUUUGGCUAAAAUAUUGUGUUGUUUGCAAUUGUCAAUGGAGAUUCCAAAUUUUCUAUCUAAAUUCGUAUGACUAGGUUUUCUUUUAUUUAACAUGUCUAAAAUUCUUAUUUACAAGCAUUCAUGUGUAUGUUUUUUGAUUUUUACAAAAGAAAGAAGCCUACGCGUGUGCAUGUUUGUUAGAUUUCUGGGAGAAAGAAGCCAACAGAGUACACAAUGAUUUGUCGAAUUUGGAUGUUUCCCAUGGUCAUGCACGAAUUUAGUUAUUGAGCAACUAAUCAUUCCACCAUCUAAGCAUCUCAGCCUUCCGGUCACUUAAUUCAUUCAUCACACGACCACUGAGGCUGGGCGAAUGCAGGUAAAUCAAAAUUCUAUACUGAACAUUAGGUACCUCCAUGCUAAAAGAAAGCUAGCCCGGAGGCAUCAGACAGGCCUGCUCACCUAGCUUUAGAGUUUUUUUCUAAAUCAUUAAGAUGACACGAUUAUAGAUUUAUAAUACUAGGUUAAUCAAUUCCAACGCAAGUGACAUGUAUUCCUAUAUUUCCCUGCCCAUCGUAAGGAGUAAAAACUGUAGGAAUUCUUACAUUAUCUCAAACAUCUUGGUGUAUGUCUAUGAUCUCUUGGUCUAGCUCUGAGGUUGAUCGGAUUUCCCAAUAGGAUAAAAAAUAAAAUUUUGUCACAUAUCCUAAAUCAUCUUUAGAUCGCUUUGUAAGAGCACCUGACAGAGCUGCAUGCCUUACUUGAAUGCGCAGAAAAUCAUGUUAAUAUAAUUAAUUGCCCUGAGUGAAAUGUUUGAAUUAUUUUCUUUUGUGCACAAGCUUAUAUAUUAUUAGUUUGAAGAAAAUAAGAAUUGUAUAAUUAUCAUAUUUUAUGUGGGGGUGCUUCAUUAUUAAAUCUAGAAGUUCGUAAUAGAUAAUAUAUCAUUGUGUUGUUUUAAACUAACUUGCUCUUUUGACUGGCAAAAUGUUGAUACUGAAUCUAGGGGCAAAAUUGAGUUAAUCGCUGCUUCUUGGCUGAAUUAAUUAGUCUUUUUCCUUGUGAAAUUUUAUUGUCGCCAUACACAAGUUAUGCAGGGGUAAAAGUAACAAUUGUUUUAUGGGCAUGCUAAAUGUGUAUUUCUGCAGUACUAAAUAUUGUUAUUACACCAAUUUGCUUUGUCGGAGGUAUCAUUUAUGCCCUAAUACUCUGUUAUGUGGGGCCAAGCCGGCAACAUAUCUUGAAAAUUUUAGCUUGACAUAUCUUUGUGCCACUCAUGCCCACAUGUGCUAAGUUGUUCCAAGUAGGCGGAAGGAGACUAUUGUAUACGUAGUUUAGCUACAUAAGAAUGUUUGGGCUUUCAGUAAGCAAGUCUGACCAGUUGAUAACUUAUUUGGUUACCUCCAACAUACAUAUGUUUAAGGCCUCAAUAAACAAUAUAUAUUUGAACAUUGACCUUACCUUGAGAAUAAUGUUGCUGCUGCAGAGGUAUUUCUCUCUUAAUUGGCAAGUUUUUGCUGUCAAGGUAUCACGGGGGCUAAACUCUUAUAUUCUUAUAUAGUCAAUAUCAUGAUACGCAUUCCACCGCCAUGAUCACAAGUGUGCGAAUGAGCAACUGGUGCACAUGGUUCUGUCCUAGCCCACGAAGAACAACAUUAUGAGGCUGUGAAGAAGGCCGACGUUGAGAGCUAGGAGAAGCACACCACAAUGUGAUGGCACUGUGAUGGAUUGAAUAACCCGUGAAGAAGGUCAUCCAAAAGAAUUCGGUGGUUUUCUUCCUAGGAAAUGCAAGAAACUCAAACAUGCAUGUUCAUUCAUGGUGGUAAAAUAAAAUUUGCACAACACUAUUUUUCUAACUUAUCUGGUACUAAUGGGAAGUGUAUUAUUGAGGAAUGCAAAUCAUUUUAUCCCUGCUGCUAGAUUUUUCUACCAUGUGAUCAG